AGUUUCGUACAAACGUUUCUCAAUGCACCGGAUUACAUCAGAACUCUGUACUUAAGCCUGCUUAGAUAAAAGUAGUACUAAGAUGGAUGACCUCCUUAGAAGUCCUCGUAUUGAACCCC
rfam:Beta vulgaris subsp. vulgaris Bvchr3.sca003.con0059.1, whole genome shotgun sequence.